rnacentral:misc_RNA from 1 species
GAUGAAGAACGUAGCGAAAUGCGAUAAGUAAUGUGAAUUGCAGAAUUCAGUGAAUCAUCGAAUCUUUGAACGCACAUUGCGCCCGUCAGUAUUCUGGCGGGCAUGCCUGUUCGAGCGUCAUUACGCCCCUCAAGUCCCCUGUGGACUUGGUGUUGGGGAUCGGCGAGGCUGGUUUUCCAGCACAGCCGUCCCUUAAAUUAAUUGGCGGUCUCGCCGUGGCCCUCCUCUGCGCAGUAGUAAAACACUCGCAACAGGAGCCCGGCGCGGUCCACUGCCGUAAAACCCCCCAAAUUUUUAUAGUUGACCUCGAAUCAGGUAGGACUACCCGCUGAACUUAAGCAUAUCAAUAAGCGGAGGA